rnacentral:sRNA from 1 species
AUAUAGCCCUGAUUGCAGUGGAAAUAAAAAAUGUCCCAAUUGUUUUGGGACAUUUUUUAUUGCAACGGAAAGCAGGAAAAUGG